GAAUCUAUCAAAAGGCCUGGGACAACCACUGGAAACGGUGGCUAAUACCGGAUGAGCCGAAAAGUAAAAAGGGAAACCUGCCUUUUGAAGAGCUCGCGUCUGAUUAGCUAGUUGGGGAGGUAAGAGCUCACCAAGGCAGCGAUCAGUAGCUGGUCUGAGAGGAUGACCACCCACACUGGGACUGAGACACGGCCCAAACUCCUACGGGAGGCAGCAGUGGGGAAUUUUCCGCAAUGGGCGAAAGCCUGACGGAGCAAGACCGCGUGAGGGAAGAAGGCUCUUGGGUCGUAAACCUCUUUUAUCAGGGAAGAAAAAAAUGACGGUACCUGAAGAAUCAGCCUCGGCUAACUCCGUGCCAGCAGCCGCGGUAAUACGGAGGAGGCAAGCGUUAUCCGGAAUUAUUGGGCGUAAAGCGUCCGCAGGUGGCUUAUCAAGUCUGCUGUCAAAGAGUGGGGCUUAACCCCAUAAAGGCAGUGGAAACUGAGAAGCUAGAGUGCCGUAGGGGUAGAGGGAAUUCCCGGUGUAGCGGUGAAAUGCGUAGAGAUCGGGAAGAACAUCGGUGGCGAAAGCGCUCUACUGGACGGCAACUGACACUCAGGGACGAAAGCUAGGGGAGCG
rnacentral:rRNA from 1 species